CGUAGGGUGCGAGCGUUAAUCGGAAUUACUGGGCGUAAAGCGUGCGCAGGCGGUUUUGUAAGACAGAUGUGAAAUCCCCGGGCUCGACCUGGGACCUGCAUUUGUGACUGCAAGGCUAGAGUACGGUAGAGGGGGAUGGAAUUCCGCGUGUAGCAGUGAAAUGCGUAGAUAUGCGGAGGAACACCGAUGGCGAAGGCAAUCCCCUGGACCUGUACUGACGCUCAUGCACGAAAGCGUGGGGAGCAAACAGGAUUAGAUACCCUGGUAGUCCACGCCCUAAACGAUGUCAACUGGUUGUUGGGUCUUUACUGACUCAGUAACGAAGCUAACGCGUGAAGUUGACCGCCUGGGGAGUACGGCCGCAAGGUUG
rnacentral:rRNA from 1 species